CUCCGGGAAGACACUUGGGGGACACUUUUGUGUCCGAGCCGUGGCUGGAGGAGCUCGGGGGGAACGUGUACGGCUCGGGAGCAAUUGGGGAGAGCCUGUGGAGCUCUAAACGGGCUCUUUACGGCGCGGGGCACGGCAGAACCUCACUCGAUGUUUCCCACAGCCUUCAACCAAUCCUUAACUCUGACUGCCUAACUCCCACAGAGAACUGGCUGCACUCAGGCAAAGAGGGAUUUUCUCCUUUUCCUUUCCUUUGAAGCCAUGGAAAGCUCCAAAGUUUUCCUGCUGAGAACAGACAUACUCGUCAAGUGUGUGCCAAGCCCAAGGUGCCACCAAUGAGGUUCCCGUGCCCUAGGGCAGAACCCUGCAAGAAAUGUUCUGGACCUUUGGACUGCUUGGUUCCACGAGGCCUCGCUCUGUCACAAUGGACUUUUGGUUCCAUGAGGUUCCACAGUGGAUAUUUGAUUCCUUGGGGCCCCACGGUGUCAGAAUGGUGUUUUUGGUUGCGUGAGGUUCCGUGCUCUCAGCAAUGGUCUCCUUGCUGCUGAGGUGUCACGAUGGAGCCUUGGUCUCAUGAGCUUCCUCAGUGUCACAAUGGUCUCCUUGGAUCUGCAGUGUCCCAGCAGUGCCUUGGCUCCAGGCGGCCCUGCUGUGUCACAAUGGAGCCUCAGUUCCAUCAGGCCCCACAGUGUUUCAAGGAAACAAGGGUUGCCUUGGUUUCACGUGCCCCAAAGUGUCACAGGGGUCUCCUUUUCCUGCAGCAACCAGCAGCAAACCCCAGUGCCAGGGCCAAAUGUGUGGGAAGAAGGAGGAGGGGGGACAUUUGGAGUGCUGGGUUUUGCCUUCCCAGGUCCCAGUGACGUGGGAUGGGGCCCUGCUGUCCUGGAGAUGGCUGAACAGUGGCCUGCCCAUGGGAAGGGGUAAGAGACAACAACCUCUGUCCAUGGAACAGCAGCAGAGAGCUGGGGCAGCAGGCUGCGUUUAAAAGAGUGUCACCAGCGCAGGAAACAUCAACCUAGGACAUUUUCUUGAAAGCUGCCAUUUGAGGGCAUUCUUUGAUACAGAACUGGACCACUGGGAAAGACAACGUUCACUUUCCUGGUCAAUUUUAAAAGGUUUACUAAAAAAGACAGUAAGGGACAAAGACAAUAAAGCAAAGGGUUAAAAGGGCCGGGUGCUUGGCACUGUGCCAAGAGCACCCCUGGUGUUCUGGAAACACCCUUUAUAUCCCAUUUCUAUUGCAUCAACUUGAUGGGAACUGACAGUGGUCAAAGAAGAGAUUUUUAGGCUUCAGGCAUUCGCUUGAGCCUGUGUGAAACUGAGUCACACAAAGUUCUCACUCUGGCCUGAGAAAUCCUAAGGAGGAAUCCAAACAGUCCUUGGGGAAGGAAAACAACCUUGGCAGGUGUUGUUUGGAUCCUUGUUGUUUCCUUGCAAGAAACAGUCAAGGGGUGUUGUUCCUAAUUGUCCAGUGCUGGUGAUGUGUUGGUUUAAUGACCAAUGAGAGUUUUACCUCUUGGACCUUCUCAGACCUGUCUAUAGAAGAAGAUCUGGAAUAAUAAAACUGGCUCUCUUGUGCUGCCCAGAAGAGAGUCCCUGUCAUGCUUUCACCAGUCCUAAUAUAGUGCAACACAACUUGAUGUGUAUUCAUAGAAUUAAGGUAUAUUGAA